GUGAGGAACACGUAGGAAUCGGCCCACGAGUGGGGGACAACCUGGGGAAACUCAGGCUAAUACCGCAUACGCUCGCGAGAGGAAAGCGGGGGACCUUCGGGCCUCGCGCUGGUGGACGAGCCUACGUCCGAUUAGCUAGUUGGUGGGGUAACGGCCUACCAAGGCGACGAUCGGUAGCGGGUCUGAGAGGACGACCCGCCACACUGGGACUGAGACACGGCCCAGACUCCUACGGGAGGCAGCAGUGGGGAAUAUUGGACAAUGGGCGCAAGCCUGAUCCAGCAAUGCCGCGUGGGUGAAGACGGCCUGCGGGUUGUAAAGCCCUUUAGGCGGGGAGGAACGGUCGGGUGCCAAUACCACCCGGCGCUGACGUUACCCGCAGAAUAAGCACCGGCUAACUCCGUGCCAGCAGCCGCGGUAAUACGGAGGGUGCGAGCGUUAAUCGGAAUUACUGGGCGUAAAGCGUGCGUAGGCGGUAGCGUCAGUCAGCCGUGAAAGCCCCGGGGCUUAACCUGGGAACGGCGGUUGAGACGGC
rnacentral:rRNA from 1 species